GAUGAACGCUGGCGGCGUGCCUAAUACAUGCAAGUCGAGCGAACAGACGAGGAGCUUGCUCCUCUGACGUUAGCGGCGGACGGGUGAGUAACACGUGGAUAACCUACCAAUAAGACUGGGAUAACUUCGGGAAACCGGAGCUAAUACCGGAUAAUAUAUUGAACCGCAUGGUUCAAUAGUGAAAGACGGUUUUGCUGUCACUUAUAGAUGGAUCCGCGCCGCAUUAGCUAGUUGGUAAGGUAACGGCUUACCAAGGCAACGAUGCGUAGCCGACCUGAGAGGGUGAUCGGCCACACUGGAACUGAGACACGGUCCAGACUCCUACGGGAGGCAGCAGUAGGGAAUCUUCCGCAAUGGGCGAAAGCCUGACGGAGCAACGCCGCGUGAGUGAUGAAGGUCUUCGGAUCGUAAAACUCUGUUAUUAGGGAAGAACAAAUGUGUAAGUAACUAUGCACGUCUUGACGGUACCCAAUCAGAAAGCCACGGCUAACUACGUG
rnacentral:rRNA from 1 species